ensembl:misc_RNA 7SK 7SK RNA
AGCUGUGAAGGUCAUCUGGCUAUGACAUCUGUCAUCCCGUUGAUCACCAGGCUGAUUCGGCAGAUCUGGCUGCGAAGGCAGGUGUCUCCUUCCUGCCUUACUACUCCAUGUAUACUCCUCUCAAAGCUGCACCUUCAGUUAGAGAUGACGAGCUUCCUCAACAGAGACACGUCAUUCUUCAGUCAACGUUAUAGGAGCAGCUACAUUCAUCUGCUGGAGCCUCCGAGCCAGGGCUGAAGGUCCAAUAACCCCAUAAACUUUAGAUUAGUUUCCCGUGGAGAUUAGCUGCCCCU